rnacentral:rRNA from 1 species
GAAUAUUGGACAAUGGGGGGAACACUGAUCCAGCGAUGCCGCGUGGGUGAAGAAAGCCUUGUGGUUGUAAAGAACUUUAAUCGAGGAGGAGGAUACCUGGAGUACUACUCUAGGAUAGUGGACGUUACACGACGAACAAGCACCGACUCACGCUGUGCAAGCCGCCGCGGUAAUACAGAGGGUGCGAGCGUUGAUCGGAUUUACUGGGCGUAAAGCGUGCGUAGGCGGCAAAUUAAGUCAGAUGUGAAAUCCCCGAGCUUAACUUGGGAAUUGCAUUCGAUACUGGUUGGCUAGAGUAUGAGAGAGGAUGGUAGAAUUCCAGGUGUAGCGGUGAAAUGCGUAGAGAUCUGGAGGAAUACCGAUGGCGAAGGCAGCCAUCUGGCCUAAUACUUACGCUGAGGUACGAAAGCAUGGGGAGCAAACA